AGUGGCGAGGUUAACCGUUUAGGGGAGCCGUAGGGAAACCGAGUCUGAAUAGGGCGAUUUAGUCGCUGGGCAUAGACCCGAAACCGGGCGAUCUAUCCAUGAGCAGGUUGAAGGUUGAGUAACAUCAACUGGAGGACCGAACCCACUAACUUUGAAAAGUUAGGGGAUGACCUGUGGCUGGGGGUGAAAGGCCAAUCAAACCGGGAGAUAGCUGGUUCUCCCCGAAAUCUAUUUAGGUAGAGCCUCGGACGAAUUCCAUUGGGGGUAGAGCACUGUUAAGGCUAGGGGGUCAUCCCGACUUACCAACCCUUUGCAAACUCCGAAUACCAAUGAGAACUAUCCGGGAGACACACGGCGGGUGCUAACGUCCGUCGUGGAGAGGGAAACAACCCAGACCGCCAGCUAAGGUCCCAAAAUAUUGCUAAGUGGGAAACGAUGUGGGAAGGCAUAGACAGCUAGGAGGUUGGCUUAGAAGCAGCCACCCUUUAAAGAAAGCGUAAUAGCUCACUAGUCGAGUCGGCCUGCGCGGAAGAUGUAACGGGGCUCAAACUGGUUACCGAAGCUGCGGCUGUGCACGCAAGUGCACGGGGUAGGGGAGCGUUCUGUAAGCCUGCGAAGGUGUGUCGAGAGGCAUGCUGGAGGUAUCAGAAGUGCGAAUGCUGACAUGAGUAACGAUAAUGGGAGUGAAAAACUCCCACGCCGGAAGACCAAGGUUUCCUGUCCCAUGCUAAUCAGGGCAGGGUAAGUCGGCCCCUAAGGCGAGGCAGAAAUGCGUAGUCGAUGGGAAACGGGUUAAUAUUCCCGUACUUAUAUAAUCAGUGAUGGAGGGACGGAGAAGGCUAGGCAAGCUUGGCGUUGGUUGUCCAAGUGAAAGUGAGUAGGCUGAAGACUUAGGUAAAUCCGGGUUUUCAAGGCCGAGACACGAGACGAGCUCCCAAGGGAGUGAAGUUGUUGAUGCCCUGCUUCCAGGAAAAGCUUCUAAACUUAUGAUUAUAUGAACCGUACCCCAAACCGACACAGGUGGUCAGGUAGAGAAUACUAAGGCGCUUGAGAGAACUCGGGUGAAGGAACUCGGCAAAAUUGUACCGUAACUUCGGGAGAAGGUACGCCUCUGUUUGUGAACACUUCGCGUGGUAAGCAAAUGGAGGCCGCAGUGACCAGGUGGCUGGGACUGUUUAUUAAAAACACAGCACUCUGCAAACUCGUAAGAGGACGUAUAGGGUGUGACACCUGCCCGGUGCCGGAAGGUUAAUUGAUGGGGUUAGUUUUCGGACGAAGCUCUUGAUCGAAGCCCCGGUAAACGGCGGCCGUAACAAUAACGGUCCUAAGGUAGCGAAAUUCCUUGUCGGGUAAGUUCCGACC
rnacentral:rRNA from 1 species